GUGGGUACAAGGAAUAGCAGCCUGAGAGACACGACCACGAGGCACUUCCAGGGCAGGAACAGGUACCCACAGACCCCCAUUCUCGACAGCCACAACUUCCCAGAACUCCUGCAGCGACAAGGUCCUUGUCCCUAGCCCUCUCAGAACAGCCGGAAGUGUUGAGGGGCGAAAGCACACAGAGAGCGAACCAGGAGCUGGGAGCGGGAGAAGGCAAGGCUGAGUCCAGGCUCUCCGGAGCCUAAUAAUUCUUCCUCGGCUUCAGCCUCAGCUUUCCAGCCUAGCAGAACCAGAUGCCCCCUCCUGCAUCCAAAAAAGAGCUUUCUCGACGCUCCCUGGGGCGGAGGGAGCCCGGGGGAGGGAGAGCACGAAAGAAGGAGCAGGGACGAAGGUCACAGAUUGUGCGUUCUCUGCCUUUCUCGGUGAAGCUACUUUAAGAUUCAGUUGGGCGCGUUCUGCAGAGGUCUGGCAUCAAAAGUUUAUAACCCAAAGAAGGCAAGUGUCUCUGACAGAAAGGAGAUGUCAUAAAAAAUUGUUUUUAAAGCUCCUGAUUUCAAGGAGAGGAGAAAAUGUUUUAUUAGAUCACACACAUGUUUGGAUGGAGUUAGAAAACAGCCCCGAGUCUCGCAUCUGGACCCCAAGGCGAUAAAAAGUUCCACGCAGUGACCCGCAGCAGGUGUAGCCUGGUUCCUCCGCUUGCUCCGAAGCUGUCCUCCCAGUAGCCCAGUGGGCGAGUCCUGUUGGCCUGGCCCUCACCAGCCCGCGGAGCGCCGCGGCGCAGCUUUGGGCGCGGGGAGCUGAGCGGACUGCGGCCCCCGCCUCCUCCAGGGACGCUGCACGGGACGCGGGGACGCGCGGACGCCACGCUCAGCGGCCGCCCCCGGCCUCCGCGCCGCCUUCCUCCGGGGAGCAGCCCUGAAGCACGCGGGCCCCGACCGCCGGGGUUGUCAUGGCAGCAGCAGCAUCCCUGACCGCCACUUUCUCCCUGUGUCGACUCGGAGCAAGCCGGCUGGCGGGUGGUGCGGACUGCGCGCUCAUCCCGGCUGGUGCUGGGCGCGGGCGCCCACCUUAACCCCCGCAGCGCCGAGACAGAAGCACCCACUAAGGCCCAGAUCCCCGAGGGACAGUGGUGUUUCAAGGGGCUCCGCGCUCUCCUUGUACCAGAGCGAGCUGAGGAGAUGUUGAGUCCCUUUCACUGCCUCCCCUGGUAUGGGUGGGGAGGUAGAGGGGAGGGCUGGAGAAGGAGUUCUGGGGAAAGCAGCAAAUUGAAAACUGACACUGGCACCUUCCUUCCGCAAUGCCAUGCAGAAGUUGUCAGACCCCGCCCUGGAGAACUGAACUGCCUUUGCCACUCCAGGUAGCUGAGCCCCUGUGGAUGCCCAGUCCUCUGCAACUGUCCAUGCAGGCUUUAGUCCUAAGGCACAGCUUUCCUGGGCCUAUGCAAAAAGCUGUACUAUGCUUCCUGUUUUGAUGGCCUACCUGGAAACACUUAAUGCCCAUCCACUCCAUGUCUUGCCUCCCUAGCUGGCAAUUGAAUUUCUUCUUACAAGACAGCAUGCAAAGUAAUCCCCACUAUCUGUGCAUCUUAUUGUGGGGAAAAGGAAGAGCUGGGGAAAUCACGUGGAGAUCCUAAACUGUAGUAGGACUGAUCUUCAGAACAUCCAUCUAUGACUUUCUGAUCACAGGAGAAAGCAUCAUUAUAGCGCCAAGAGGGAACUCCAGGAUACAGUGUUCCUAGAGGCCAGUCUCUAGGUUCCUUUGGGCUAAGAUCCAUCUCCUUCAGUCUAAACCCAAAAGCGCCAGUUUUCCUUGGGCCUGCCAUUAUUCUUGCCCCUGCUCUGCCUGGCAGAAGCCUCCCCUCUCUGCGUGGCACUCGUGCCUGUAUCCUAAUUUAAUGGUUGCUAUGUGCGUCUGCUCCACUGUAUUCUUUUUUUUUUUUUUCUCGGAGCCUUUUGUUAAAUUAGGCAGGGCUCCACACAAUUGCCAAAAUGAAAUGUAAUUC
rnacentral:lncRNA from 1 species